rnacentral:rRNA from 1 species
GUGGGGAAUCUUAAACAAUGGGGGAAACCCUGAUCUAGCCAUGCCGCGUGAUCGAUGAAGGCCUUAGGGUUGUAAAGAUCUUUCAGGUGGGAAGAUAAUGACUGUACCACCAGAAGAAGCCCCGGCUAACUCCGUGCCAGCAGCCGCGGUAAUACGGAGGGGGCUAGCGUUGUUCGGAAUUACUGGGCGUAAAGCGCACGUAGGCGGAUUGGAAAGUUGGGGGUGAAAUCCCGGGGCUCAACCCCGGAACUGCCUUCAAAACUCCCAGUCUUGAGUUCGAGAGAGGUGAGUGGAAUUCCGAGUGUAGAGGUGAAAUUCGUAGAUAUUCGGAGGAACACCAGUGGCGAAGGCGGCUCACUGGCUCGAUACUGACGCUGAGGUGCGAAAGCGUGGGGAGCAAACAGGAUUAGAAACCCGGGUAGUCC